GCAGGUUUGUUACAUAUUCGAGCGACAUGGGCGAAAGAAAUCGACUCGAAGGAUAGAGAUACCUAUCACACUUCCAUCAACAGGUUCAGUUCAUCACCUCAGGUAUAAAUUUAAUCUUUAAGCAACCGAAUUGUCAGGAGGGAGUCGGAUUCAACUUCAAGAUGAUUGCAAUUCAUAGAUCGAGCAAACCGCAGACCUUCCAAAAUUCCUUUAAUUUCAGCAAGCAGUGUGGUGGAAGGGAAUGAGGAACGAAGACAGAUUUGGCCGCUACCAAAACGCCAUCAGACCUGAGCAAAAAAAACCCCAGACCCGAAGAAGAAGGUCUACAUGAAGCAUCAGUAUUGAGCUUCAAAUGGCCUUCACACGGAGGGUCCCAAAUCUGGCACUGGGAAAGAAAUUUGCUUUCCAUGAACCGUUGAAUUUUGAUCGCACCAAAUUGCCCAACAGGGUACUAAGGUAGAGAGUGGAAAAGUGUCUGCCAAAACUUUCGAGCUCACUUGCACUGAAAAAGCGCAUGGAAGAUACUUUCUGGCUUGGAAUAGCGGAGGGAACAAAUAGUUAACAAAUCUAAACCUCUGGACUGCAGAAUCUGCCGUUGGA